GCGGCUUUCCCAUGCAGUCGAGCGGGGGAGGUUGCUUCGGUAACUGACCUAGCGGCGGACGGGUGAGUAAUACUUAGGAAUCUGCCUAUUAAUGGGGGACAACAUCUCGAAAGGGAUGCUAAUACCGCAUACGCCCUACGGGGGAAAGCAGGGGAUCACUUGUGACCUUGCGUUAAUAGAUGAGCCUAAGUCGGAUUAGCUAGUUGGUGGGGUAAAGGCCUACCAAGGCGACGAUCUGUAGCGGGUCUGAGAGGAUGAUCCGCCACACUGGGACUGAGACACGGCCCAGACUCCUACGGGAGGCAGCAGUGGGGAAUAUUGGACAAUGGGGGGAACCCUGAUCCAGCCAUGCCGCGUGUGUGAAGAAGGCCUUAUGGUUGUAAAGCACUUUAAGCGAGGAGGAGGCUCUCUUGGUUAAUACCCAAGAAGAGUGGACGUUACUCGCAGAAUAAGCACCGGCUAACUCUGUGCCAGCAGCCGCGGUAAUACAGAGGGUGCGAGCGUUAAUCGGAUUUACUGGGCGUAAAGCGUGCGUAGGCGGCUUUUUAAGUCGGAUGUGAAAUCCCUGAGCUUAACUUGGGAAUUGCAUUCGAUACUGGGAAGCUAGAGUAUGGGAGAGGAUGGUAGAAUUCCAGGUGUAGCGGUGAAAUGCGUAGAGAUCUGGAGGAAUACCGAUGGCGAAGGCAGCCAUCUGGCCUAAUACUGACGCUGAGGUACGAAAGCAUGGGGAGCAAACAGGAUUAGAUACCCUGGUAGUCCAUGCCGUAAACGAUGUCUACUAGCCGUUGGGGCCUUUGAGGCUUUAGUGGCGCAGCUAACGCGAUAAGUAGACCGCCUGGGGAGUACGGUCGCAAGACUAAAACUCGAAUGAAUUGACGGGGGCCCGCCCAAGCGGUGGAGCAUGGGGUUUAAUUCGAUGCAACGCGAAAAACCUUACCUGGUCUUGACAUAGUAAGAACUUUCCAGAAGAUGGAUUGGUGCCUUCGGGAACUUACAUACAGGUGCUGCAUGGCUGUCGUCAGCUCGUGUCCGGGAGAUGUUGGGUAAGUCCCCGCACCGAGCGCCACCCUUUUUCUUAUUGCCAGCACUCCGGUGGGAACUUUAAGGAUACUGCCAGUGGACAACUGGAAGAAGGCNGGACNNNGUCAGGUCUCAUGGCCUUACNGACCAGGUCANCACNUGCUACAUGGUCCGUCANGGUGCUUACUAGCGAUNGA
rnacentral:rRNA from 1 species